rnacentral:rRNA from 1 species
UACGGGGGGAGCAAGCGUUGUUCGGAUUUACUGGGCGUAAAGGGUGCGUAGGUGGGUCUGUAAGUCUGUGGUGAAAUCUCGGAGCUUAACUCGGAAACUGCCAUGGAUACUAUAGAUCUUGAAUACCGUGGAGGAUAGCGGAAUAUGUCAUGUAGCGGUGAAAUGCUUAGAUAUGACAUAGAACACCAAAUUGCGAAGGCAGCUGUCUACCCGAAUAUUGACACUGAGGCACGAAAGCGUGGGGAUCAAACAGG